rnacentral:rRNA from 1 species
ACCCAGCAACGCCGCGUGAAGGAUGAAGUCCCUCGGGAUGUAAACUUCGCAAGACGGGAAGAAUAAGUAGGGGACAAUACCCUCUACGAUGACGGUACUGUUUGUAAGCUCCGGCUAACUCCGUGCCAGCAGCCGCGGUAAUACGGGGGGAGCAAGCGUUGUUCGGAUUUACUGGGCGUAAAGGGCGCGUAGGCGGCCACCGCAAGUCGACUGUGAAAUCUCUGGGCUUAACCCAGAACGGUCAGCCGAUACUGCGGGGCUAGAGUGCAGAAGGGGCAACUGGAAUUCUCGGUGUAGCGGUGAAAUGCGUAGAUAUCGAGAGGAACACCUGCGGCGAAGGCGGGUUGCUGGGCUGACACUGACGCUGAGGCGCGAAAGCUAGGGGAGCGAACGGGAUUAGAUACCCCGGUAGUCCUAGCCUUAAACGAUGAAUGCUUGGUGUCUGGGGUUUUAUAGUCCCCGGGUGCCGUCGCUAACGCUUUAAGCAUUCCGCCUGGGGAGUACGGUCGCAAGACUG